AUACGUAGGGGGCGAGCGUUGUCCGGAAUGAUUGGGCGUAAAGGGCGCGUAGGCGGCCUGGUAAGUCUGGAGUGAAAGUCCUGCUUUUAAGGUGGGAAUUGCUUUGGAUACUGCUGGGCUUGAGUGCAGGAGAGGAAAGCGGAAUUACCGGUGUAGCGGUGAAAUGCGUAGAUAUCGGGAGGAACACCAGUAGCGAAGGCGAUAUUCUGGCCGACAACUGACACUGAGAUGCGAGAGCAUGGGUAGC
rnacentral:rRNA from 1 species